rnacentral:lncRNA from 1 species
ACAGGCAGGGCCCUAGGUCCAGCACAUGCUCACUCUUUGGUUGGUGGUUCAAUCUCUGGGAGCUCCCAAGGGUCUAGGUUAAUUGUCUCUGUUGGUCUUUCUGUGGAGUCCCUGUCCUCUUUGGAUCCUUCAAUCCUUCCCCCGACUCUUCCACAAGACUCCCUGAGCUCCAUCUGUUUCCAUUGGCUGUUGAGUAAGCCUCUCAGAGGAGAGUUAGUUAUGCUAGGAUUCUGUCUGACAGCAUGACAGUAUCAUUAAUAGUGUCGGGGAUUGGUUCUUACCCAUGGGCUAGAUACCCAGUUUGGGUCAGUCAUUUGUUGGCCAUCCCAUCAGAUUGCUCCAUGUUUGUCUCUACACAUCUUGUAGUCAGGACACAUUUUUUUUUUAUUAGAUAUUUUCUUUACUUACAUUUUAAAUGUUAUCCCCUUUCCUAAUUUCUCCACCGAAAAUCCCCUAUCCCUUCCCCCCUCCCGUUACUCUCCAACCUACCCACCCCCACUUCCUGGCCCUGGCAUUCCCCUAUACUGGGGUAUAAAACCUUCACAGAACAAAGGGCCUCUCCUCCCAUUGUUGACCGACUAGGCCAUCCUCUGCUACAUAUGUAGCUAGAGACACGAGUCCCACCAUGUGUUUUCUUUGAUUGGUGGUUUAGUUCCAGGGAGCUCUGGGGGUACUGGCUAGUUAAUAUUGUUGCUCCUCCUAUCAGGCUGCCAAUCCUUCAGUUCUUUGGGUCCUUUCUCUAGCCCAGGACACAUUUUGGAUCAAUGAUUCUGAGGAUGGAUUGCUGUCCUUAUCCCUCCAGUGAGAGUCCUGCCUGGCUACAGGCUAUGGCCUCUUUAGGUGAGUUGCCUGUUUAAUUUUGGUCAAAGUUUGGAUGUAGAAAAAAAGUGACACGUGCUUAUAAUGGCCUGGUUUACCUGACAUGGAGGUAUAAAGAGACAACUAUCAAAUCUACUCAACUACAUGAAAUACAGAGUUAGAAAAGACUUAAUAAGAAUAACCUACCCAAAGUUGUAUUUCUCUUUUAAUGUAUACUUUCAACUGUUAGUGGAUAAACUUAGAUCCUGUGAGCUUUUUUAAAGGUUAAUGAAAAUUGAAUAAUUUUCCUGAAAUUGUCACCCUCCUCUUUGUGAUCAAAUUGCUGUCUUGGGGGAUAUUUCUAACCUUUUAUAAUAUUUAUAAUUCAAAUAGCAAACAUCUGUUCUUUUUCAGUUAUGAAAGUCAUUAAAAUUUUACAAUUCUCACACUAUGAAUGUCUUAGCUGCAUUUUCUUAGAAAAUAUUUAUGAAGCAGUCUGUCAAUAUAUGUUUGGAAGAUGUACAUAUAUUUUGUUUUGUCUGUAAACUUGAUGCAGAGAGAUCAAACUACUAAAUCCAAAUGGUCAUUCACCCCUCUCUCCGUGCACUGUACCUGCAUAAUGGUAACAUGGAGGAAGUGAUAAAUUACAUAUGGCACAUGGGAAGAAUGGUGUCUCCUGAAUAUUUAUAAAUGCCUGAUGUACAGAGGGGAAUAUUUUGUUUGGGGAAUAGGGUGCUAGAGAAAAGAACUGUCAUAUACCAUCUAAGAUUAUUUAAGUAUAUUUGUGAUUCAUCCAUGUUUCCUUCCAUUUUCUAAUUAUGUUUUGCCAACUAACCCUUCAUGCCAAGAAUAUGUGGUUCUGAAUAGAUAAUGUAGCUGGGGAAUGAAAGGGGAUGACCAUUCCUAUAAGUGUAUUAAUGAUCUCCUUUGAGGAUCUUGACAACCAUGGUCCUGCUAAUUGUUCGUAAAAUUGGGAAGGGAUUCUGUGUUUUCAUAUUAGAAAUUCUCUAUUGUCAUGACUACAUGAGUCAGUCCUCCAAACUUGUGAUAAAAUACUUGAGAAUAUCAACUGAAAGGAAAUUUAUAUUGGUUUCAGAGGUAGCAUUCCACAGUCAUGUGGUUCAUUUGUUCCUGAGCUCAUGGAGAAGUGAGAAAUCAUAAUACAGCAUGUGUGAUGGAGCAAGACAGCUCAUCACAGGUGAUGCAAUAAGGAAAGGGAAUCAUAAGAGUAGAGAACAAGGUGCAUGAUGUAGCCCCAGGAUUUACUCUUCAGGCUAUAUGAUUUUCAACUAGGUCCUAUCUCUGAAAUUAGCCACACCUCCUAAUAGUCCAUCAAUUAUGAUGCCAUCAGUCAAUAAUUCCAGUAUCCAAUCAAUGCCUGAAUGGCCCAUUCCUUUCUCCCAAGUCUUACCCAUGCACAUUGCUGCAAUGUACAUUCAAUAUGGAAGAUGUGAUAGUAGCCUUGGGUUAAUCACUAAGUGUGAUCAGCACCAGGGAACAUUGUGCAUUUUUCAGAUGUGAUUAUGUCACUAACCAUGUUUUCCCGGAUACCUGACACUAUGCCCCAUAUAUGGCUGACAUAAAAGUACAUCUUCCUAAUUAAUGGAUGAAUCACACUGCACAAACACAUAUUCUACAUAUGCACAAGAGUUUCUGGUCAUUCAGAUUAUUCAAGAAACUUAAAUUAUUUAUUUACUACAGCAAUUUUCCAAAAUGUUAUUUUGUAUAGAUUAUCAGUUUCAAGGAAUUUAAGUAUAUGAAAAAGUACUUAGUCCAUUUAUAUUUUAAUUGCCUUUAAAUACUACUAAGUAGAACAUUUAAUUCGACUGGGCUUCUCACAUGUCCAAAUUCUACUAACAUAAGCAACUGGCUUUCAGAGAUUUCUCAGCUGUCUUCAUGUUUUCUUAGCAAAAGUUGGUGGUACUUUUCUAGAAUGACCAAUCUGAUCAUACUAAAUAUUGUUACAGAAGUCCUGUCUCUGUUGUUGCUGUUGUUUGAGAUUUUUGUUGUUGUUUCAAUAUCAUAGAUGUCAAAUGUCAUAAUGUCUCUCUUUCCCUCCCUUCAUUCCUCCAUCUCCCUUUAUUAUGUGUGUUUUGAUGAUUAGUUUUUGUGUAUUUUGUACUCUUAGUUAAAGGGACUAAUCUGAAUGCUGGUUCUAGAGAACAGACAGGAUUUAGCAGUCUACUGUUUUCAGAUUACAUGUAAAAUUUGGGAAAUUUCUCAAUUUUCAAAAAUCUUGCAAAUUACAAAACUAUUUUUCAAACUGUAGAACCUGAAAAUGAAAAUGUGCAAUGGAAACUCCUACAGAAGGCCUGCUAUUUCUUGUCAGGUAGCACAAUGAAUUAUGAACCCUUAGAUAAAACUUCAAAAUGCCCGGAUGGGGCGUAAUUAAGAUAAUAUAGGGCUCCAGCAACCCUAUCAAGUGAUUUGAUUUUUACAGUGGUUAAAGAAUAAUAGAAACAGAUACAGAAUUCUUCCCUAAUUAAGGCUAGGUAAGGUUUUCAGUCAAAUGGUCUAUUAGAGAAAGCUGGUGUUCAAAGUCACUUUGAAUCUUGAACUUACACAGAAGUGGCUAUCUUACAAUAAUUAAAUCUAGUAGUAAGUAAUAGUUUCCAAUAUAUAAUCAAUUCUUCAAUUAUGCCCCCUAUAUUUGUUAAAUAUUUAAUCUCUACAAGAAUCAGUAAACAUAAAAGGUUAACAUAUAAAUUUUAUUGAUGAUUAAAUCAAGGCACAAGAAUUCUGGCAACAUAUUCUGAAUUACGUCCUGAGAGUACAGUCAAAUGGGUCUCAUAAUACAGUCUUGGUUAUGCUUGCUGCAUAGGAACAAUCCCCUACACAGAAAGGAUAUUACCAUUGUCAGGAUGUCAGUGUAGAACAGGAGCCUUCUCUGGAGCACUACAGCUUUCUACUGAGACCAUAGGUACAGAUGUUCCUGGUAUUUGAAGCAGUGGCUGAUAGUUGCAAUCCUGCUUACAAUUAUGCAUUUCUACUUCUUGUCUUGAUGACACAUUAUCUCAUGUUCUUUUUUUUUUAAAUUAUGUUGACUGAGGAUUCAUUUGCACCAUCAUCAGUCCUAAUAAUUCAUGCAACUAGUUUUCCAGAAUGAGAACUCCCCUGUCUAGCUUUUCCUAAUUCACUUAAUUUUUUUUCUUCCUUAUUUUUUCUAGUUUUAUUUUCCUUAUUCAAAUAUCCAAGUAAUGUUAGCUGGACUAGAUAUCAGCCCUAUAGUCAGUGAAAAUGUACUAUUUCUAUAUAUAGGUUUAAAAGGGUUAAAUAAAUGCCAAAUAAUUAAGGAAUGAUCAAUUUUAGGUCCCAAAUAUUACUGUCUAUUGACAGAGGCAACUCCAUUGAGUACUGGCUAGAUGACAACACAAUGCCAGCAUCCUCCUACAUUGUUUUGUCGGAAUAACAUUUGUGAAAAGUAAAAUAACUCCAUUUCCUAGUCUGCCAAGAUUUGAAAAAAAAAAAGUGUUUUAAUGUAAUAAAAAAGUAUAUAUUUUUUAACUUACUGUUAUGUCUAAAAUGUGGCAAAAUAAAGCCAAUCAAGGUAUAAAACCAUGAAAAAAUAUUUUAUGUUUCUUAUUGCCGCAUUGGCAGUAAAAUUUAGAAUAGUCACGGGUGGAGUAAAAAGAAUUACUUAACCUUCUAGAAAACAAGCAGCCUCCAGCCCUAAGAUGAUGCUUUAUUAUGGUAAUUUAACUUAUGUCUAAUGUCAUAAUACAUAAUACUGCAUAUUCUACUUCUCUCAAGAUUUUGUACAAAUCACAUCAAAAAAUCUCACUUUGAAAUUGGAAAGACACCAUAGAAUAUUCUAUAUCAUAAUUGUUGAGCUCACAGUAGGAAGAGCAGUUCUGGGCUGUGUUCCUGAAAUUCACUUGUGUGCUCAUGCUCUUAGUGAUAAAUAAUCAUGCUCAAUUAACACUGUAAAGUUCCAAGGGGGGGGAAAUGUAGUUUUCUGUAAAAAUGUGUGUGUGUGUGUGUGUGUGUGU